AGAGUUUGAUCCUGGCUCAGGACGAACGCUGGCGGCGUGCCUAACACAUGCAAGUCGAGCGGAGACAGUGAGUAGCUUGCUAUGAGCUGUUUUAGCGGCGGACGGGUGAGUAACGCGUGAGCAACCUUUCCCAGACAGGGGAAUAACACACCGAAAGGUGUACUAAUACCGCAUAAGACCACGGGAUCACAUGGUUCUGGGGUAAAAGAAUUAUCGGUUUGGGGUGGGCUCGCGUCCGAUUAGGUAGUUGGUGAGGUAACGGCCCACCAAGCCGACGAUCGGUAGCCGACCUGAGAGGGUGAUCGGCCACAUUGGGACUGAGACACGGCCCAAACUCCUACGGGAGGCAGCAGUGGGGAAUAUUGGGCAAUGGGGGGAACCCUGACCCAGCAACGCCGCGUGGAGGAAGAAGGUUUUCGGAUCGUAAACUCCUGUCCUUGGAGACGAGUAGAAGACGGUAUCCAAGGAGGAAGCCCCGGCUAACUACGUGCCAGCAGCCGCGGUAAUACGUAGGGGGCAAGCGUUGUCCGGAAUAAUUGGGCGUAAAGGGCGCGUAGGCGGCUCGGUAAGUCUGGAGUGAAAGUCCUGCUUUUAAGGUGGGAAUUGCUUUGGAUACUGUCGGGCUUGAGUGCAGGAGAGGUUAGUGGAAUUCCCAGUGUAGCGGUGAAAUGCGUAGAGAUUGGGAGGAACACCAGUGGCGAAGGCGACUAACUGGACUGUAACUGACGCUGAGGCGCGAAAGUGUGGGGAGCAAACAGGAUUAGAUACCCUGGUAGUCCACACUGUAAACGAUGAAUGCUAGGUGUAGGGGGUAUCGACCCCUUCUGUGCCGCAGUCAACACAAUAAGCAUUCCGCCUGGGGAGUACGGCCGCAAGGUUGAAACUCAAAGGAAUUGACGGGGGCCCGCACAAGCAGCGGAGCAUGUGGUUUAAUUCGACGCAACGCGAAGAACCUUACCAGGUCUUGACAUCCACUUAAACUUACAGAGAUGUAAGGUGUGCUUGCACAAAGUGAGACAGGUGGUGCAUGGUUGUCGUCAGCUCGUGUCGUGAGAUGUUGGGUUAAGUCCCGCAACGAGCGCAACCCUU
rnacentral:rRNA from 1 species